rnacentral:rRNA from 1 species
AUUGAACGCUGGCGGCAUGCUUUACACAUGCAAGUUCGAGCGGCAGCGCGGGGGCAACCCUGGGCGGGCGAGCGGCGAACGGGUGAGUAAUGCAUCGGAACGUACCCUGGAGUGGGGGAUAACGCCGCGAAAGCGGCGCUAAUACCGCAUAUGCUCUGAGGAGGAAAGUGGGGGGACCGCAAGGCCUCACGCUCUGGGAGCGGCCGAUGUCCGAUUAGCUAGUUGGUGAGGUAAAGGCUUACCAAGGCGACGAUCGGUAGCUGGUCUGAGAGGAUGAUCAGCCACACUGGGACUGAGACACGGCCCAGACUCCUACGGGAGGCAGCAGUGGGGAAUUUUGGACAAUGGGGGCAACCCUGAUCCAGCCAUACCGCGUGAGUGAAGAAGCCUCGGUGUAAG